AAAACGAUGACGCGUCGAAGCAGCUGUCCGACUUGGGUUGGCCCAAAAUUGAAGUCUGGCGUGCUGGAUCACUCCUUAAGCGAAUUCUGCGAUAUCCAUACACUGGCGCCGCUCGAGAUGCAUCUAAGGGCCCAAUCGCCCUAUGUGAGUCGUUUACAAUUCCUGGCCGUCUUUUACAACUCGUGACUGGAAAACCCUGCG
rnacentral:rRNA from 1 species